AAACAGGUUUGUUUCAUCGCUCUUUAUUUUAAGGGAGGAAAGUCCGGGCAACGCAGGGUAAUUUGCCACUUGAAAGGGUGGGUAUAUUUUUAGGAAUAAGAAUAUAACAGAUAGUGUCACAGAAAACCAAGUAGCCUUAGCAUUUCGAUGUUAAGGUCAUAGUGAAAAUGUGAGGUAAGAGCUCACAUGUGUAGUUGGUAACAAUUACAUAGGACAAACCUCUUAUGUUGUAAGGCCAUGUAAACUCUAAUUUUGCGGCGACUCGUUGCAAUAACUUCGGUUAUAUUAGAGAGGGUAGGCUGCAUAGAUAAAUGAUGAAAGUUGCGCAAGCAAUACAGAACCCGGCUUAUAGAACCUGUUUUUAA
rnacentral:RNase_P_RNA from 1 species